ensembl:lncRNA
GAAGAAGUGCACUCUGUCCAGAAUACACCUUGCCAAGGAUGGGGAGGGAAGGAAAACUGAAAAAUUGAUACGACCUGCUUAACAGACGGCGGCCAGGACGUCAUAGCCGUUGAAACUGGAAACAGACUGGACCUUGUAUGGGAGAGGCUGGGUUGUUCACUAAACUUUCCCUCCUGGACACAGAACCGGACUACAUUUCCCGGCUUCGUUUGUAGCUCGUGUCUGAAUCUGGCCAGGGAAGUGGGGAGACGAUGAACUCUACUCCCAGGCCCAGACGGUUAAACCUCCUACACCAUCCUCCGUUCUUUCCUCAUCUGCUGGGUAGAUACACAGAAUCUAGCUGAGGACCCUGAAGCCCAAGAUGACAGCAGAGACACAUGGGCCCCUCAGUCACCGCUUGGGGGACAGUCACCAGGAGACACCCAGGUGAGGAGUCUUACUGAGUCCCAGCAGGUGGCCCCACUGGCCCAGAAGUUUACAAGAGGCUUUCAGGAGGUGGGAAGCCACCACAUGGCAUGUUGAGGGAGUCUCACAGACAAAUCACUUCUCUCCAGCCACUAAGAUGCAAGAAACAUGUGAUUCCCAAUGGAGGACAGUGCUCCAGAGCCUGCACAGGUGGACACCAACCUGUUUCCCCCUGAAGCAGGGAGAAAUGACCCUCCUAGGAAAGAGGGAGAUGGAGGUCCUACAGAAACUGUGUGCAGGCGUCAUCCAGGAUCGCUUUUCCUCAUUGGUCGAUCUCCAGGCCCAACGUGCUGCUGCUUUAACUGUAUCAGAGCCCAUCGGUUCGAGCAACGAAAUGCCUGGCGUGUUGUCUACUGAGAGUGCAACGACUUACCCCUUGGAAUUUCCUCUGGUCCAGGCAGUACAAGACCUUCUGUAGUGAAUGAUUCCUUAGAGAGGAUGGUUUUUGGAAACAAG